AUGUUGGGCAAGUUUAUGCAGAUGUAUGAUUAUGGUUUGAUGUGUUUAUUGCGUGAAGCUUGCUAUGGGUUCUCAUAGCCUUAUACAGGCCAAGUUUUAGUACUAGUCACAACUCCAAGCCAAGUGCUUACAUCAGUGAAUUAAUGAAGAGAAUUUCCAAAAAUCAUGCUUCUUUCAGUUGUCUUAUGCAAUUCACCUUACACGUAAAUUUCAAUACAAUUUGGGUUGAAGUUCUCUUCCACCAAACCCUAAUCAAAUAAUAUCAAUUUCUUGAACUUUCCAAAAAACAAAAUUGAUGCGUACGACUUACAAGUUUGCCUAGUGCUAUUUUUCUUCCCAUCAUACUUGUUUACAAACUCUAAUUCUCAUCAUGAAUCUCUAUUCUCUUUAUCUUUUCAAAUCAACCCAAGCCCUACAUCAAUAGCAAUUAAGUGAAAGCUAAGCAUGAUAAUUAAGCACAACCAAUGGUCAUAAUAACAAUAUUCGCAUUCUCAAACUAAAGGCCCAUUUUGAUUCAAACUUCAAUAUUGGAAUUAAAAAUAGAAUGGCGUGUAAUCAGGAAAAGAAUGGGUUUUUUCCUCAAGUGUUUGGUUCAACAAGGAACCAAAAUUCAAUUUCUUAAAGGUUAUUUGGUUGCUA
rnacentral:misc_RNA from 1 species